UCAUACGAGGAUGUCUGGCUGGUUUUUAGUGUGGAUUACCAACCCAGCCGACAGGUGAAAAUACCACAUCAGUACUGUUCUGCAGCGCUUUAUACCCAGGAAUAGUUACUUUAGUCCUUAAUUCUUCGCUGGAGUUUUUCACAGCUCUAUCGAUAAUUUCAAACUUUUUUUUUUUCGCGGUCCCGGAAGAGGGUGUGCGGUAAUUCCUUUUCGUUGUCGACGCAGAAUUUCCCAGAGAGCCACGAUGGAAUCCCGGCACGAAGUCACCACCAUUGUGACAAAGCCAGAGAAGAUCCGCCACUGGCUGCACUGCAUAAUCAGCAUAUUCUUCCCGCCCUGGAUCUUCGUGUGGUUAUGCUUGUGCAUUUGCCGCGGAGAGAAAACAAAAACAACAACCCGUGUGGUCUGAUCGGGAUCACGGUAGCCUGGACACGUUGACAGAGUUGCUUUCGGAAAGGACCUACGUACUGCACAUUCCGUUAUGAUGGGAACCUCACCAUUUCGCGGGCGUGUUUCACAAAUAAAUCGUGAAAACUCGUAGCUGCAUUAACAUUGCAAAUUUGAUGCUUUUUUGUUAAUUUGUUGCUUGCGUCCAUAUCAUGGAUGGCAAUGUACUGCAUACUUUCCCAUUUGUAGAACACGACUUGCGGCACGGUUACAGUAAUUCAAAUUGUUGCACCUGCUGUAUGUUUGUAGCUGCUUUGUAUUUCCUCCGUCUGGUUUCCCGCUUGUACGCACUGUGCUGUUUUUUUUGGUUGGGAAGAUCUGAUGAAUUUUUCACACAUUUAUGUUAGUACCGACUUUUUUAAGCUUUGUCCAUAAUUAAAAGGCAAUAAUCAACGU